CAGAGAGGUUGUCAACAUUAUUCUCACCAGAGAGGUUGUCAACAUUCAGAACGGCUGCACAGCUUGAGAACAGUGCCUCCUGGAGCAAAGUUAAAAGGAACAUCUUUUUACCAAAGUGGCAUAAAAGGAUGACCAGGGUUUAUUAUCCAAAACCAGGACACUUUACUGACAAUGAGCUGUAGUAAUACUUAUGCCUAGCUAACAUGCAUACUCCAAGACUGAUCUGGACAAACCAGGAUGCAUACCUGUAUGAUAUAUGGUUAUUUUGAAGCUGUGCAAAAUCUGACUCCUUAACAAAUGAGCAAACAACCAUGGCUGUCCUCAGGAUGCGGCAGCAACAGCCCUGCAAAAUCAGCCUGCCCGAUAUGUCAAGCUGUGUUUGUAUAUAUUUCAGCGUAUCCAAGCGAGGGCUUUUUAACUUUCCAUGCUACGGACGAAGCUGUACUUUCCUGAAUGGCGGCCAGGAAAAAACUUGGAGAGUUGGCAGGAAGACUGUGGGAAGCCUGGUGAAACACCAGGCAGAGAUCUGGAGCAGAGGCUUUCUACAAAGGCAGAGGAGCGAAACUCCCUUUGUUUAGCUCCACAAACUAGUACAAAUGGAGCCCCCAGAUUGCAAUCAGGCUCUAUUGUAUAAACCUGGGGCUUCCAUGCCAUACAACAUUUUUUUGGCACUGAGUACCUUAUUAUUUCUCAGCUGGAAAACCAAUUAGCAUUCUUUUUAUAUCUGGGUGUUAAUACUUGGACCUUAGAGCCAUUUUUGGCCACCGGCCCACAUGGCCAUAGUCUCUUGGGCAAUG